CGAACGCUGGCGGCGUGCUUAACACAUGCAAGUCGAACGGAAGGGCCCUGCUUUUGUGGGGUGCUCGAGUGGCGAACGGGUGAGUAACACGUGAGUAACCUGCCCUUGACUUUGGGAUAACUUCAGGAAACUGGGGCUAAUACCGGAUAGGAGCUCCUGCUGCAUGGUGGGGGUUGGAAAGUUUCGGCGGUUGGGGAUGGACUCGCGGCUUAUCAGCUUGUUGGUGGGGUAGUGGCUUACCAAGGCUUUGACGGGUAGCCGGCCUGAGAGGGUGACCGGCCACAUUGGGACUGAGAUACGGCCCAGACUCCUACGGGAGGCAGCAGUGGGGAAUAUUGCACAAUGGGCGGAAGCCUGAUGCAGCAACGCCGCGUGCGGGAUGACGGCCUUCGGGUUGUAAACCGCUUUCGCCUGUGACGAAGCGUGAGUGACGGUAAUGGGUAAAGAAGCACCGGCUAACUACGUG
rnacentral:rRNA from 1 species